CACUAGAUGUCUGAAGCAAGUCAUGGUCUCUUAAACCAUAAAUAGUAAAUUAGCACUUACUUCUAGUG
rnacentral:tRNA from 1 species